AUGUUGAUGAAACCUGAGUUGCAGGCCAGCAAGGAGAACGUUAAUAUCCCAGGCUUAAAAGUCGGCUUGCUCAAGUCCAAAUUACAGGAAAAGACAGAACAAUCUCAACAGCUGCAAGAUCAAAUUCUCAAGCAGCGGGAGGCUUUAAGUAGGGCAAGCCAAACUCUCAAAGACACCAGGAAAGCAGCUGGCAAGAAGGUAAAAAGAGUGACUUUCUCUCUUUUCUCGCUUGCUCUCGUCCCUUCUUUACGAAAAAAAAAAAAGCGUCUGAACAUCUUUCCUCCCCUGUGAUGCUGAAUUCCCAGGUUGUGUUGUUUAGAAGUCUAUUACACAAAUUUUACAGUGUCUUAUCUAAAUUUCACCAUUCAGAGACAGCUUGUAUUUGUGUUGGCGUGCACUGAAACGCAGACGUUACCGUAUUUUUGUAAUCACAGAGGACUCGCUUUGUGUAGAAAGAAAACAGCGCGGCUCUGUCAAAUCCUAACUGGCAAAGGAUUCGGUAUUUUAAGUGUUGUCUCAACAGAGCAAAGCUGUCGUCUUAUUUUUUCCCCUCUAAAUGAAUAUCAGAUGAAGACGGGUGGAAAUGUCCAAGUGUGAAGCUUCACAUGGGUUAACCUAAUUUUCCCUGAGACCAAGUAGAUGUACGUUUAAUUCCUCGGCUGCGCAAACAAGCGUCCGUUUAACCUCUCGACCCCUGUGAAUAAAUAUAUGUAUAGGCAAACAUAAGUGCUUGCCGAUGGGUUUCAAUUAAUCUCGGCCACUUUUAUCUUGCUUAGGCAAACAAAACAGACGUUAAAUUCUGC
rnacentral:lncRNA from 1 species